rnacentral:rRNA from 1 species
UGAAGCGGCAAAAGCUCAAAUUUGAAAUCCCUCGGGAGUUGUAAUUUGUAGGUUGGGGGUUUCGGCGGCAGCGGAUUCAAGUCCCUUGGAACAGGGCGCCUUAGAGGGUGAGAGCCCCGUGGAAUCGUAGCUACCGCCCCACACCCCCCUCCAAAGAGUCGAGUUGUUUGGGAAUGCAGCUCAAAGUGGGUGGUAAAUUCCAUCUAAAGCUAAAUACCGGCGAGAGACCGAUAGCGAACAAGUACAGUGAUGGAAAGAUGAAAAGCACUUUGAAAAGAGAGUGAAACAGUACGUGAAAUUGUUGGAAGGGAAGGGCUUGCAAGCAGACACGGCCUCGGCCGGGCCAGCAUCGGUUGUGGGGGACAGAAAAGCGGGAAGAAAUGUGGCUCUCACGAGUGUUAUAGUCUUCUUGGAUAUGUCCACCCGCGACCGAGGCCUGCGUUCAUCUAGGAUGCUGGCGUAAUGGUUGCAAGCCGCCCGUCU